rnacentral:rRNA from 1 species
UACGUAGGGGGCGAGCGUUGUCCGGAUUUAUUGGGCGUAAAGGGCGUGUAGGCGGUUUUUUAAGUCGGGUGUGAAAACUCUGGGCUCAACCCAGAGACUGCAUCCGAAACUGGGAAGCUUGAGGGCAGGAGAGGAAAGUGGAAUUCCAAGUGUAGCGGUGAAAUGCGUAGAUAUUUGGAAGAACACCAGUGGCGAAGGCGACUUUCUGGACUGUACCUGACGCUGAGGCGCGAAAGCCAGGGGAGCGAACGGG